ACAUCUUUCAGAAUACAUGAUCAUGUGUUAAAACGUUUCUCACAAAAAAAAAAAAAAAAAAAAAAAAAAAAAACGUUUCUCACAAGUUUACACAUAAACUCAAAUCAUAAAUUGAAUAAGAAGUUUACAAGAGAGAUUGUUUUUAAAUUAUUUUAUUUAUUUACAUUUCAGCUGUUGUUCCCCCCAUCCCCUGUCCCACAAUUUCUCAUCCCAUUCCUCUUCCCUCUUGUCUCUAAGAGGGUUCUCUCCUUUUUUGGGGGGGGAGAGAGGGGGAGCCUCAGACCAGCCCAUGUAUGCUGCCUUGUUGGUUCCUUAGUCUCUGGGAGCUCCCAGGGGUCUGGGUUAGUUGAUACUGCUGGUCUUCCUAUGGGGUUGCCCUCCCCUUCAGCUUCUUCCAUCCUUCCCCUAAUUUAACCAUAGGCGUCUCCGACUUCAUUCCAAUGGUUGGAUGUAAGUAUCUGUGUCUGUCUCAGCCAGAUGCUUAUUGGUCCUCUUAGAGGACAUCCAUGCUAGGUUCCUGAUGUUAUGGUAGGCUUGUAGACAGGAGUCUAGCAUGACUGCCCUCUGAGAGGCCUAACAAGCAGUUGGAAGUCAGGUGCAGAUACCUACACCUAACCAAUGGACUGAAGCUAGGGAUCCUUGUGACUGAAUUACGGAAAAGCUGAAAGAAGCUGAGGAGGAGGGUGACCCCAUAGGAAGACCAGCAGUCUCAAUUAACCUGGAUCACUGAGAUCCCACAGACACUGAGCCACCAAACAGGCAGCACACACCUGCUGAUAUGAGGCUUCCAACACAUAUACAGCAGAGGACUGCCUGGUCUGGCCUCAGUGAGAGAAGAUGCACCUAACUCUCAAGAGACUUGGGGCCCCAGGGAGCAGGGAGGUCUGGUGGGGUGGGAACAUCCUCUUGGAGAUGGGGGGGAGUAUGGGGUGAGGAAAAGCCAGAGGGUGGACUGGAAGGGGGAUAAUGACUGGACUGUAAAACAAAAACAAAAUAAGAAACAAACAAACAAAAAAACCCAAAACAAACGAACAAACAAACCAACAACAACAACAAAAACCCCUCAGGUGACAGAACAUUGUUGGUGAGGUUGUGAAGAAAGAGAAACACUUCUCCAUUGCUGGUGGGAUUCCAAACUGGUACAAACACUCUCGAAAUCAAUCAUGGCUGUUCCUCAGAAAAUUGGACAUAGUACUACCUGAGGACCCAGCUAUAUCACUCUUGAACAUAUACCCAAAAGACCCUCCACCAUGCCACAGGGGCAUGUGUUCCUGAAGAAAUAUAGUUUUUAGCUUGGCUAAUGUACACCAAAGCUGUUUGCAAAAGCUUUUCCCUUCCCCCUGCUGCUUGAGGAAUUUUUCCUUUCCCUGCCAAUAUGAACAAGUUCAAUAGUUCAAUACCACCCGGUCCCUUCCCCAUCUGAGAGGACUGACUAGAGGUCAUGAUGACCAUAGCUGCCAGAGCAAGAUUAGCUGUUCUCAAAAAUUAGCUAUAACAAAGAUAAUAGUCCUUGGAAACCCUACCUCAGUUUAAAUUCCAAGAUAAAACACAUACUGCCUUAACCUUGCUGGCAAAGUUUUCUGGCACAUCAAUAGCUGAUCACU
rnacentral:lncRNA from 1 species